CAAUAGAAAGCGAAAAUUUUUGCUUUCAGUUUCGACCUGAAUAUUUGAUAUUUAUAUCUCUAUUGA
rnacentral:tRNA from 1 species